rnacentral:rRNA from 1 species
GUAGGUGGCAAGCGUUGUCCGGAAUUACUGGGCGUAAAGCGCGCGCAGGUGGUUCUUUAAGUCUGAUGUGAAAGCCCCCGGCUCAACCGGGGAGGGUCAUUGGAAACUGGGGAACUUGAGUGCAGGAGAGGAAAGUGGAAUUCCACGUGUAGCGGUGAAAUGCGUAGAUAUGUGGAGGAACACCAGUGGCGAAGGCGACUUUCUGGCCUGUAACUGACACUGAGGCGCGAAAGCGUGGGGAGCAAACAGGGAUUAGAUACCCUGGUAGUCCACGCCGUAAAUGAUGAGUGCUAAGUGUUGGGGGGGUUUCCGCCCCCUCAGUGCUGCAGCUAACGCAUUAAGCACUCCGCCUGGGAGUACGGUCGCAAGACUG